rnacentral:rRNA from 1 species
UAACUAGGCAAAUUGACACCGUAACUUCGGGAUAAGGUGUGCCUCCGAGGUGGAGCAGAACAUGCCGAGCCAGAAGAGGUCGCAGAGAAUAGGGGGUAGCGACUGUUUACCAAAAACACAGGACUGUGCGAAGUCACGAAGACGACGUAUACGGUCUGACGCCUGCCCGGUGCCGGAAGGUUAAGAGGAGAGGUUAGACGCAAGUCGAAGCUUUGAAUCGAAGCCCCAGUAAACGGCGGCCGUAACGAUAACGGUCCUAAGGUAGCGAAAUUCCUUGUCGGGUAAGUUCCGACCUGCACGAAUGGCGUAACGACUACCCCGCUGUCUCAACCAUGGACUCAGUGAAAUUGAAUUCUCGGUGAAGAUGCCGAGUACCCGCGGCAAGACGGAAAGACCCCGUGAACCUUUACUAUAACUUGACAGUGGUAUUCGGGUGGAUCUGUGUAGGAUAGGUGGGAGACUUCGAAGCGGGUGCGCCAGCAUCCGUGGAGUCAUCGUUGAAAUACCACCCUGGUCCUCCUGGAUGCCUAACGUGGGCGGCUGAAGCGUCGUCACGGACACUGUCUGGUGGGUAGUUUGACUGGGGCGGUCGCCUCCCAAAAAGUAACGGAGGCGCACAAAGGUUCCCUCAGCCUGAUUGGAAACCAGGCGAAGAGUGCAAAGGCAGAAGGGAGCUUGACUGCGAGACCUACAAGUCGAGCAGGUGCGAAAGCAGGUCUUAGUGAUCCGGUGGUUCUGCGUGGAAGGGCCAUCGCUUAACGGAUAAAAGGUACUCCGAGGAUAACAGGCUUAUCUCCCCCAAGAGUUCACAUCGACGGGGAGGUUUGGCACCUCGAUGUCGGCUCAUCGCAUCCUGGGGCUGGAGCAGGUCCCAAGGGUUUGGCUGUUCGCCAAUUAAAGCGGUACGCGAGCUGGGUUCAGAACGUCGUGAGACAGUUCGGUCCCUAUCUGCCGUGGGCGCAGGAGUUUUGAGAGGAGCUGUCCCUAGUACGAGAGGACCGGGAUGGACUGACCUCUGGUGCACCAGUUGUCACGCCAGUGGCAUAGCUGGGUAGCUAAGUCGGGACGGGAUAACCGCUGAAAGCAUCUAAGCGGGAAGCCCACCUCAAGAUAAGAACUCCCAGGGGUAACCCUCUGAAGGCCCGUCGUAGACUACGACGUUGAUAGGCUGGGUGUGUAAGCGUCGGAAAAGGCGUUGAGCUAACCAGUACUAAUAGGCCGUGUGGCUUGACUCA